AACGAACGCUGGCGGCAUGCCUAACACAUGCAAGUCGAACGAGACCUUCGGGUCUAGUGGCGCACGGGUGCGUAACGCGUGGGAACCUGCCCUUAGGUUCGGAAUAACUCCCCGAAAGGGGUGCUAUUACCGGAUAAUGUCUUCGGACCAAAGAUUUAUCGCCUUUGGAUGGGCCCGCGUUGGAUUAGCUAGUUGGUAGGGUAAAAGCCUACCAAGGCGACGAUCCAUAGCUGGUCUGAGAGGAUGAUCAGCCACACUGGGACUGAGACACGGCCCAGACUCCUACGGGAGGCAGCAGUGGGGAAUAUUGGACAAGGGGCGAAAGCCUGAUCCAGCAAUGCCGCGUGAGUGAUGAAGGCCUUAGGGUUGUAAAGCUCUUUUACCCGGGAUGAUAAUGACAGUACCGGGAGAAUAAGCGCCGGCUAACUCCGUG
rnacentral:rRNA from 1 species